CCUACGGGUGGCAGCAGUGAGGAAUAUUGGUCAAUGGGAGGAAUACUGAACCAGCCAUGCCGCGUGCAGGACGACGGCUCUACGAAUUGUAAACUGCUUUUGUACCGGGGUAAAAUGCUCUACGUGUAGGGGUUUGAGAGUACGGUACGAAUAAGGAUCGGCUAACUCCGGGCCAGCAGCCGCGGUAAUACGGAGGAUCCGAGCGUUAUCCGGAUUCAUUGGGUUUAAAGGGUGCGUAGGUUGUUUGAUAAGUUAGCGGGGAAAUCCCGAUGCUCAACAUCGGGGCUGCCGCUGAUACUGUAGGACUAGAGAUCGGAUGCAGCAGGCGGAAUGUGUGGUGUAGCGGUGAAAUGCAUAGAUAUGACACAGAACACCGAUUGCGAAGGCAGCUUGCUAGGCCGGAUCUGACACUGAUGCACGAAAGCGUGGGUAUCGAACAGGAUUAGAUACCCGGGUAGUC
rnacentral:rRNA from 1 species